rnacentral:rRNA from 1 species
AUGAUUGACACAAAUUGCCCAAUUAUGAGCUAGAACAUACGAGGGCUCAACUCGCCGGCCCGGCGAACAGUAGUGAAUGAGACGGCGGAGACACACAAGCUCGCUCUUCUCUGUCUCCAAGAGACAAAGAUCAACGAAUGGAGCAGAUCACUAGUUAGGGAGGUGGGUGGAGCCAGACUAGCAAACUGCGUCGUCCUCCCGACCACGGGCACUAGGGGAGGUGCGACGAUCUUCUGGGAUAGAAGCUGUGUAGAGGUCCAAUCCCACGCCAUUGGUAGUUUCUCCAUCACAGCCAAGAUCACUCUCGCAGCAACAACAACAUCAUUCUGGAUGACGACGGUGUACGGGUCUGUCAAAGAUGGGAGGAAACAUGAGUUCCCGGCCGAGCUAGCACGAACAACACCGACCCCAAGUGAUCCAUGGCUCAUUAACAGCGAUUUCAACCUAAUCUAUGAAGCGCGGGAUAAGAACAACAACAACAUAAACCGUAGGAUCAUGGGAAAAUUUCGGGCUGUAAUCGACAUGGCGGGCCUCAAGGAGAUCAAAUGCAAAAACAGAAAGUUCAUGUGGAGCAAUGAACACGCGUCUCCAGCCCUAGUUAGCAUAGACAAGUUCAUCUACAAUGUGGAUUGGAACUCCAUGUUCCCGUCCUACCUCCUUCAUGUUGCGUCCACAUCGUUCUUCGACCAUUGCCCCUUGCUGCUGUCGGAAGCUGCAGUGCCUCGCCAUGCGGCCCGUUUCCGCUUCGAGUCCUUCUGGCCGCGCUUCCCUCGGUUCGACAUCACAGUCCAGUGUGCAUGGGAUCGCCUGGUCGCCUCCAGCUGCGCUUCACAAUGUCUCAACAUGAAACUUGCUAGAGCGACUAAAGACCUGAAGAUUUGGGCAAAGGGUUUCUUCAUGAGACAAGGCUCCAGAUGCACAUUGCAAACGAGAUCAUCUUGCGUCUCGACAUCACCCAGGAGAGCAGGCAGUUGUCGCACUGUGAGCUCCAGCUAUGGAAACAUCCCAAGCUACGCAUCCUCGACCUCGCUGCGAUCGACAGAGCUCAGAAGUGGCAAGCAUCGCUGA